UACGAAGGGGGCUAGCGUUGCUCGGAAUCACUGGGCGUAAAGCGCACGUAGGCGGCUUUCUAAGUCAGGGGUGAAAUCCUGGAGCUCAACUCCAGAACUGCCUUUGAUACUGGAGAGCUUGAGUCCGGGAGAGGUGAGUGGAACUCCCAGUGUAGAGGUGAAAUUCGUAGAUAUUGGGAAGAACACCAGUGGCGAAGGCGGCUCACUGGACGAGUACUGACGCUGAGGCACGAAAGCGUGGGGAGCAAACAGG
rnacentral:rRNA from 1 species